rnacentral:rRNA from 1 species
CCUACGGGUGGCAGCAGUGAGGAAUAUUGGUCAAUGGGCGUAAGCCUGAACCAGCCAAGUCGCGUGAGGGAUGAAGGUUCUAUGGAUCGUAAACCUCUUUUAUAAGGGAAUAAAGUGUGGGACGUGUCCUAUUUUGUAUGUCCCUUAUGAAUAAGGCUCGGCUAACUCCGUGCCAGCAGCCGCGGUAAUACGGAGGAUCCGAGCGUUAUCCGGAUUUAUUGGGUUUAUAGGGUGCGUAGGCGGCCUUUUAAGUCAGCGGUGAAAGUCUGUGGCUCAACCAUAGAAUUGCCGUUGAAACUGGGAGGCUUGAGUAUAGUUGAGGCAGGCGGAAUGCGUGGUGUAGCGGUGAAAUGCUUAGAUAUCACGCAGAACCCCGAGUGCGAAGGCAGCCUGCUAAGCCAUGACUGACGCUGAUGCACGAAAGCGUGGGGAUCAAACAGGAUUAGAUACCCCAGUAGUC